GGGGGUGAGUAAUUAAUGACUUAAUUUUCAUUUUUGGGUGAACUAACCCUUUAAAGAGCGUUCUUUAACAGGACCGUGAAAAUGCGCAGAGCUCCUGUGCUGGCCUCUUCAUUGGCUCUCAUCUGGGUUUUGAUUGGCCAGGCAUUUGGGUACAUGUGGACAUCGCUUCACCUGUUCAUGCUGGAGAGCGAGCCACUGGUUUCGGAGUGGCCAUGCUCUUGUCUCUGUUCGGCCAGGCAUCUGAGGACCCCUUGCUCAACUCUGUGUCCCCGUUGGGGGCCGGCACAGUCGAACCUGGCUCCGAAGACCAGAUGGGGAGGGAUUGCAAGAGGAGGAGACUCAUCUAAGAUGAAUUCAAGGGUUCUUAAUCUUCAAAACAAAAAAUUAAUCACGCCUUGUACAUGUUCUUUCACAAAUAUUACAUCUAUUAGACACACACACACACUCCUUGCCCUAUACCAUCCUGUACUGACCACCACAGAUAACCUCCCUCAGUAAAGUUGACAGUACACAGUUAUGAAUUUAAAUAAAAGUGCAACGUUGUCUCAAUGUUUCGUAAUGUAGUACAUGUGAAUCUCUUUACUUGCCAUAGGGAAUGUUGCAAGGAUACUACAAAUACUGUACCAAGGUCUUCAAUGUCUUCUUUUUUCAAUCAGAAACCGUUUAAAAUGCAAUAAUUCGAUUUUAUUUUCAAACAUAAAUGUCACAAUCAUAAUAUCAGAGUAUGUGAUGCUUUUGUUUUACAUUAAAUGUGUGCUAAUGGCCACAUUCACUUUUGAUGCCAAUCUUGUUAGUAUGCUAAAUGAAGAAUAUGGAAUGUGAAUGAUAAAAUCUUUUUAGAGUAAAUGGUUAAAAAAAAAGUCUGUUUGUCUUUGUUAAUGCAAUUAUUCGAAGGUAACACAAUAGUUACAGGUUUAAACCACCAAUUAAAUUCUAUUACAUACUGAAACUUUUAUUUGUAAGCAUGCAUACAUACUAAAUCUUCUGCUUAUCCGGGGCCGGGUCACAGGGUCAGCAGUCUAAGCUCCAGCUCUUCCGUGGGGACACCAAAGUGUUCCCAGGCCAACUGAGAGACAUAAUCCCUCCAGCAUGUCCUAGGUCUUUCCCGGGGUCUCCUCCCGGAGGGACGUGCCCUGAACAACUUCCCAGGAAGGCCUCCAGGAGGCAUCCGGAACAGAUGCCCAAGCCACCUCAGCUGACCCCUCUUAUUGGGAGGAGCAGCAGAUCUACUCUGAGCUCACGAGUGGCCGAGCUCACCCUAUCUCCAAGGGAUUGCCCAGCCACAAUUCCCGUUCCCCCAGCCCCGAAACCUGAAGGAUCUGGAGAAGGCCUGUAUGGAGGAGUAGGCCAAAAUCCCUGCUGCAGUGUGUGCAAACCUGGUCAAAAACUACAGAGUCUAUGGUCUCUGUACUUCCAAUUGCAAACAAAGAUUCCGUCACUCAUAGUUGAAGAGUACCUACGAUAAAAAUGACAGACUUCUACAUGCUUUGUAAGUGGGAAAACCUGCAAAAUCGGCAAUGUAUCAACUCCCCACUGUAUAGGAGGACCACUCCAGGCUGUUUUUAUGCUGAUUGAGAAUAAUCAAGAUAUUCAAAAAGGCUCAAUCAGUAGAUUUUCUUUUUCUGUCUUGUGAACUGAACAGAAUGCCAUGGUCUGGGGGAGAAUAAAAGUCAAUAGAUUCUUCCACGGGUUCAACUUUAACUGGCAGCUCUGCUUCAGAUUUGAUUUCAGCCUUCUGAGGAACAUCUUCCAUCUUCACAACGAUGUUCUCGCGAAUUGUGACCUGCAUGGGUGGCAGAGAAAUGAUACUCUGAAUGAUGUCUUCUCGUGAUGCGCCUGGCUUCACUGGCUUACUUCACAAA